UCAAGUCAAGAAGCAGAGCCAAAAGCCCAUGCACAUUUUUUUUUUUUUCCUUUUGCUUGCAAUUUUCUUAAGAGUCCAGGCAUGGGAACCUUGUCCACACCCCCGGUCCCUGCAGCCAGAGGGAGCAGCAGUAUUUGUCUCCCUGCCUGGGAAAGAAAAGAGGUCCUUUGUGGAGCCACUUGAGAAGGCCCCCAGCCAAAGUCUCCCUCUUCCAGCUCUUGUCAAUGCCCCUGCCCGAGGGGAGCCCAGAGAACAGCCUGUCAGCUCUUUUCAUGGCUGGGAAAGUCAGGCUUUCUGUCGCCUUGGCUGGGCUCAGGGACUUGGAUCACUGAUCCUCAGCCCAGGAUUUACACAGAGAGAGCAAAGAAGGAUGGGAAAUGCCAGCCCUUUCACUGAUUGAGAAUCAGGGACUUUCAGAGCUGGAGGAAACCUUGACAGGCCACGGGUGCAGCCACCCUGCUCCCCCUGGAUGAGAAAUGGAGCCCAGCCAUGGUCACACAGUUCCAGGUCCAGAGUUCUUGCUGCCCAGAGUCAGAAGGUCUGGGUGAACUGGGUCUUGAAUCUGGCCUAUCUGGAUGCUAGACAAUGCCCUGCAUCAGCCAGUCCUGGCUCUUCCUUGCAGAACUUCAAUUCCCUGACUCUGCCAAUUCCCAAUAAAAGAGGAGAUUCAUCUCACAACUCUUUGUCCAUCUCCAUCUAACUAGGCAAUCUAGCUUCAAGACCAGGGCCAAGCCCAAUUCUCUCUAGCUUAUUCUGGAGGGAUCCAGAUUCUUGGAAGAGCAAUCGCAAACUCUUCAGAAUAUUAUUUAAGGCCAGUUGAUUGUAGAAAGAAAACAGGCUUUGGAAUCAAUCAGACAAGGGCUCAAAAUCUGACUCCACUACUUUCUUGCACUUUAUAUGGUUCAGAUUACUUAAGUUUUCUGAGCUUUAAUGACUUCAUCAGUAAAAUGGAGAUAAUAAUCUGUACCAGGGAAGUUUUAAGAAUUCCAUUGAGUGUCUGCAGGGUACAGUCAAUAUCAUGUCUGGCACAGGGAAGUUCCAGUAAUUGGCAGCUGAUUCCCUCUGGAAUCCUUCACCUUGCCAGGCCUGUGUCUUGGUGGCUCCCUGCAUUUUGAACCAUGCAACUUGCUGUUGACUUCAUUUAUUUAUUUAUUUAUUUAUUUAUUUAUUUAUUUAUUUAUUGUUUUUCAUCCUAAGUAAAUGUUUCUCACACAUGUCUUUCUUUUCUUUCCUUUUUGGUGUUACUGGAGAUUGAACCCAGGGCCUGAGGCAUACUAUGCAAGAGGUUUACCACUGAGCUAUCUCCCCCAGCCCCUCACAUGUGUGCAGGGCCUGUGGUGAGUUCUUAGGAUGCAGAAACCACUCUGCUCCAGGUCCUGCCACUUGGAGUCUCUGGCUGAAUGAGAACACAGCAAUUGGUCAAGAACUGAGCAGCCACUUCACAGGGCAAGAGAGCUUAUAGAGAUCCGGAGGCCUGGGUCAGAAGCAAAAGUUGCUUGCAUAGGAUGGAACAACAGAGAAGUCUGAGUCAAGAACACAGCAGACUCUCAAUUCUGGGCCAAGUCCCAAGAAGCUCUCCAGAGCCCAAGGUGCCUGGAUGAGGUCCCAGUCAAUGCAUUGGCAGAGAGUGGAGCUCCGAUCUUAUUUAUAGACUGGAAGACUGAACAGAGCCUUGACUGCAACGUCAAAAUGCAAGCUGCUGAGCAGUUGAUCUGAAAAUCCAAAAGAUCAUGAAUAAACAUAUGGAUGAGUGGA